rnacentral:rRNA from 1 species
ACCUACGGGACGCAGCAGUGGGGAAUAUUGCACAAUGGGGGAAACCCUGAUGCAGCGACGCCGCGUGAGUGAAGAAGUAUUUCGGUAUGUAAAGCUCUAUCAGCAGGGAAGAAAUACUGACCUUACGGUCAGCAGACGGAACCUGACUAAGAAGCCCCGGCUAACUAUGUGCCAGCAGCCGCGGUAAUACGUAGGGGGCAAGCGUUAUCCGGAUUUACUGGGUGUAAAGGGAGCGUAGACGGCGUGCCAAGUCUGAUGUGAAAGGCCGGGGCUCAACCCCGGGACUGCAUUGGAAACUGGCAUGG